rnacentral:rRNA from 1 species
CUGAUCCCAUCCAGAACUCAGUAGUGAAACGAUGUAUCGCCGAUGGUAGUGUGGGGUUUCCCCAUGUGAGAGUAGGUCAUCGUCAAGA